rnacentral:rRNA from 1 species
GGGGGGGGGGGGGGGGGGGGGGGGGGGGGGGGGGGGGGGGGGGGGGGGGGGGGGGGGGGGGCUGGGGGGGCGCGCGGGGGGGUACCGCGGGGGUAGCCGGGCCUGGGCGUCGGGGUCACGUGGGGACACUGGGGCUCAUCCCGGGUCUGGAUCCUUGGGCCGGGGUGGGGGGUGGAGCACUGCGGCGGUUUUGGAUGGACUCGCGGCUUUGCAGCUGGUUGGGGGGGUAGUGGCUUACCAAGGCUUUGACGGGUAGCGGGCCUGGGAGGGCGACCGGCCACAGUGGGACUGAGAUACGGCCCAGACUCCUGCGGGAGGCAGCAGUGGGGAAUAGUGCACAAUGGGCGGAAGCCUGAUGCAGCAACGCCGCGGGCGGGAUGACGGCCUUCGGGUUGUAAAGCGCUUUCAGCAGGGGCGAAGCUGGUGGUGACGGUACCUGCAGAAGAAGCACCGGCUAACUACGUG